CAGGACGAACGCUGGCGGCGGUGCUUAACACAUGCAAGUCGAACGGUGAAGCGGGUGCUUGCACUCGUGGAUCAGUGGCGAACGGGUGAGUAACACGUGAGUAACCUGCCCAUCACUCUGGGAUAAGCGCUGGAAACGGCGUCUAAUACUGGAUACGACCAACCCUUGCAUGGGGUGUUGGUGGAAAGAUUUAUCGGUGGUGGAUGGACUCGCGUCCUAUCAGCUUGUUGGUGGGGUAAUGGCCUACCAAGGCGACGACGGGUAGCCGGCCUGAGAGGGCGACCGGCCACACUGGGACUGAGACACGGCCCAGACUCCUACGGGAGGCAGCAGUGGGGAAUAUUGCACAAUGGGCGAAAGCCUGAUGCAGCGACGCCGCGUGAGGGAUGACGGCCUUCGGGUUGUAAACCUCUUUCAGCAGGGAAGAAGCUUUUGUGACGGUACCUGCAGAAGAAGCACCGGCUAACUACGUGCCAGCAGCCGCGGUAAUACGUAGGGUGCGAGCGUUGUCCGGAAUUAUUGGGCGUAAAGAGCUUGUAGGCGGUUUGUCGCGUCUGCUGUGAAAAUCUAGGGCUUAACCCUGGACGUGCAGUGGGUACGGGCAGACUAGAGUGUGGUAGGGGAGACUGGAAUUCCUGGUGUAGCGGUGGAAUGCGCAGAUAUCAGGAGGAACACCGAUGGCGAAGGCAGGUCUCUGGGCCAUUACUGACCGCCUGAGAAGCGAAAGCAUGGGGAGCGAACAGGAU
rnacentral:rRNA from 1 species